AGAGUUUGAUCCUGGCUCAGGACGAACGCUGGCGGCGCGCCUAACACAUGCAAGUCGAACGAGCGAGAGAGAGCUUGCUUUCUCGAGCGAGUGGCGAACGGGUGAGUAACGCGUGAGGAACCUGCCUCAAAGAGGGGGACAACAGUUGGAAACGACUGCUAAUACCGCAUAAGCCCACGGCUCGGCAUCGAGCAGAGGGAAAAGGAGCAAUCCGCUUUGAGAUGGCCUCGCGUCCGAUUAGCUAGUUGGUGAGGUAACGGCCCACCAAGGCGACGAUCGGUAGCCGGACUGAGAGGUUGAACGGCCACAUUGGGACUGAGACACGGCCCAGACUCCUACGGGAGGCAGCAGUGGGGAAUAUUGCACAAUGGGGGAAACCCUGAUGCAGCGACGCCGCGUGGAGGAAGAAGGUCUUCGGAUUGUAAACUCCUGUUGUUGGGGAAGAUAAUGACGGUACCCAACAAGGAAGUGACGGCUAACUACGUGCCAGCAGCCGCGGUAAAACGUAGGUCACAAGCGUUGUCCGGAAUUACUGGGUGUAAAGGGAGCGCAGGCGGGAAGACAAGUUGGAAGUGAAAUCUAUGGGCUCAACCCAUAAACUGCUUUCAAAACUGUUUUUCUUGAGUAGUGCAGAGGUAGGCGGAAUUCCCGGUGUAGCGGUGGAAUGCGUAGAUAUCGGGAGGAACACCAGUGGCGAAGGCGGCCUACUGGGCACCAACUGACGCUGAGGCUCGAAAGUGUGGGUAGCAAACAGGAUUAGAUACCCUGGUAGUCCACACCGUAAACGAUGAUUACUAGGUGUUGGAGGAUUGACCCCUUCAGUGCCGCAGUUAACACAAUAAGUAAUCCACCUGGGGAGUACGACCGCAAGGUUGAAACUCAAAGGAAUUGACGGGGGCCCGCACAAGCAGUGGAGUAUGUGGUUUAAUUCGACGCAACGCGAAGAACCUUACCAAGUCUUGACAUCCUGCGACGCACAUAGAAAUAUGUGUUUCCUUCGGGACGCAGAGACAGGUGGUGCAUGGUUGUCGUCAGCUCGUGUCGUGAGAUGUUGGGUUAAGU
rnacentral:rRNA from 1 species